rnacentral:rRNA from 1 species
UACGGGGGGGGCAAGCGUUGUUCGGAUUCAUUGGGCGUAAAGGGUGCGUAGGUGGCGCCGUAAGUCAGGUGUGAAAUUUCGGAGCUUAACUCCGAAACUGCAUUUGAUACUGCGGUGCUUGAGGACUGGAGAGGAGACUGGAAUUCACGGUGUAGCAGUGAAAUGCGUAGAUAUCGUGAGGAAGACCAGUGGCGAAGGCGGGUCUCUGGACAGUUCCUGACACUGAGGCACGAAGGCCAGGGGAGCAAACGGG